rnacentral:lncRNA from 13 species
GGGAUUUAGUUCUCCCUUCAGUCAUCCUUCCUGGAGGGGAGAUCUGGCCCCUGUGGCUUUCAUGGUGACUGCCUCCUGCAGCCUAACCAUUAGGGGCACAUAGGAGAGGGUGGCUAUUUUGUGGGGAGACCACUGUUCAAAAGCCCCCGCUAUACCCUUUGUGUCUCUGCUGUGUUGCCUGCCAGCAGCAAUGUCUGAUGCCUCCAUUUGGCAGCCACAGGCUGUGAGGUCAUCUUUUCACCACUUGCUAUUUCCUGCAGCAUUCAAACUCUCUGGCAGUGACUCAGUGUUUACAAUCACAUUAACCUGUGAGGAACGCCGUGGCUGUGUCGAAGAACAAGGCCCUUGCUGGCACCAAGUCCUCUUUAAUAAGCUGGAAUUGAAUCCAUCUGCUAUGGUUUGAAUGUUUGCCUCCACCAAAACUCUUGUGAAAAUGUAGUUGCUAUUCACCAGUACGAAGAGGUGGGACCCUGAAGAGGUGAUUAAGCCCUGAGAGCUGACUUUCAGAGGCAGGACUGGUUCUAUAUGAAAGGGCGAGUUUCACCCCAUGCUGCUUCCUCUAGCCCUUUUGCCUUCCAUCAUGGAAUGACAAUUUCAAUCGUGAGAUGACACAGCAAGAAGAUGACCCCUUAAACUUGGACUUCCCAGACUCCAGAGCUGUGAGACAAUAUAUUUCUUUUCAUUAUGCAUUACCUGGUAUCAGGUAUAACAGGUUAUGGCACCAAAAAAUGAACUAAGAUACCAUCUACACUUCAGAAUGAUUUCUUCCCCCACCACAUCCCCUAUCCCUGUUCUGCCCAUGGAAAGUGUCCUAAGGCGCAGAUCUGAUCACCCCAUUCUUUUGACAAAAACCAGUAACAGCUCCUUAUUUGUGACUAAGAGAGACAGCCAAACUCCAUAGGCUGGGUCCUCACUAGUUUUUCCAUUCUUCACAAUGCCUUUUCACUUGUAGUGUUUUCCAACCAAACAAGCAGCAGAGGAGGCUGCGGCGGCUGCGCGGCCUCCUCUACUCUUCCUAUUCAUUUUCCCUGAAGAGCAUCCACCACAGUCUUCCCUGGUGAAAAUUCUAUUUGUCCUUUAAGGCCAGACCACAUACUGCCCCCUAUAGGCAGCGUUCCAGGACUCCGCUUCAUGCAAUUGCUCCUUCUGCUUGUUUCCUCUCUGUAUCAGCUUCUAUUACUGUCUGCCACCUGCUAGUUUGCAAGUUGUUUGAGGGAAAAUUCCUCUCCUACUUAUGCUACAAUUCCAGCGCUUUGUACAGCACAAAUAGGUGUUAAGUUAAAAACAAUUGUUG